GAGGAGGCAAGGGGCCUCUGAGAAAAUUCUACUCCGCAGUUAUGCUGGGCCUGGAUCCUGAAUCCACAUGUACCACAUAUGCCUUCAGAAAUGUGAGUUUGGAAGAGUUUAAGGAGUAGUCGGGAUAGUUCUCUGAGAAGGACAACAUCAGAGGGAGUCAAUCUUCACUCAUCAGGCCUAGCAACUUCCCUAUUUUCCAGAAAGUUUUGAGAACAUGAGUAGCUAAGUUAUUCCUUCCUGCUUGCUCCUUAUCUGAGAGAGGUAAAAGCAAAUUGAUUUACCUCUGGGCAUGUUAGAAGUACAACCCGGGAGGUUCCCAGCUGUGGAGACUGAGAGAUCAGAGAAUCAGAGAUAGAAUAAGGAGGGUGGCGGCUGAGGAAGGAGAAGUUCAACCAGGCCAAUAAAAUGAAAGAAGUGAUAUGAGCGAUAUUUAUGACACCUGGGAGUUGGAAGACUGUCUCAGGUUUGGGUUUUGUUGUGAAGUGGAUGGGAUAGUGGAGCAGGUUCCAGGACUCCAGUCUCAUCUCAUACAAUUCUGCUUCCUGCGGCUGCCUCCCUGCCCGGAGUUCUCAGACCUGCUCCCCCUCACCGUCCCACCUUUCCUUCCUUCCUCCUCUCCACACUGCCCAGCAGGGAACUGAGCAUGGGCUGGAGACAGUCGGGCUCCUGUGCUCCACGGCAUCUGGAAAUGGAGUGCAGUGCCAAGCGUCCCAGCCCCAGGCUGGCACACCAUGGCUCAUUUGGCGGGUGAUUCAGUGGAGCAGAUCUCUCAGCCUCCCCUGAUCCAGGUACUUUGUGCAUCAUCACAGACAGAGAUGGCAACACCACUGGGCCUUGGGGAUUGCCUAUCUGCCUUGGGUUAGGGGUGUGGGCUUGGGGGAAGGGGUGAUGCCUGGCUCAACUUCUCCACCCCUCCCUUGGGCACAGUGAGCCUUGGGCACCGUGCUCCCCUCUGGUGGAUGGCAGGGAAGGGGAACCCAGCUGUGGGUGUUUAGUGGCAGGCCUGGGGCCCUAGGUACCAGUAGGGUGUGUGCUUUCACAGCAGUGUCUCCUUGCCUGAGGGAGGCCAGUGUUGAAUAGCAAAUAUGAAACAGCAUGCAGGUGGAGACAGAAAGAGACAGAGAAGGGAGAGAAAAGUCCUCUGGAGAAAGCAGAAGUUUUAUAUUUUAGUUCACAUUUAACAACACCUGUUUUCUCCUUUUGGAACAAGGGACUCCUCCUUUGG
rnacentral:lncRNA from 1 species